rnacentral:lncRNA from 1 species
UAUAUAAAUUACUUGAGUCGUGCUAGGCACGUCCUAAGAAAAUAUUUUCGUCAAGUGAAAUGUUUCUCUAGAAUUAAACAAGCACUUCCCUAAUUAAUUAGAAGAUAUCUAGAAUAAUUAUAUAAGUCUUCCCUUAUUAAUCAAAGGAUACAAAAAUCAAUAAAAUUAAUUAUAAAUCCAACAGAUCUUAAUUUAGAAAGAAAAUAUUAAACUUAUUAUAAAAUAAUGCAAAGUAAAGCAAGAUAAAGAAAUGAGUUAGCAAUGAAAGUAAGAAGAAUAUAUCAAUGUAUCGGUGUUUUCAUUUGAAGGGAAUACAUUGGCUAUUUAUAGGGAAAAGAGACAGUGAAGAUAAUACUUAAAAAUGAAAAGAAAGUUGGCUGCCUUUUGUUAACUCACGUGGAAAUUUUAUGGUCCACAAAAUUCCCUUGGCCACCAAGAAUAAUGAUGUGGCAUAUAUGGAUCCACAUAAUUAAAACUUUGUCCCAAAGUUUUCAUUUACUUGCAUAAUUAAUUUAUUUUUAAAAAUAUCUAUCAAUCCCCCAUAUAUUUUUUAAAAUAAAUAAUUAAAGAAUUAAAACUUAUUGGAUUUUUAUGGAUAAAAUACAAUAGAUUUGGUGUUUUUUGGACUAUGAACCAAACUUUGAUUGAUAAAAUUUAACUUACCGAAUUAUUGGUGAAAUAUAAUAUUUCUAUAAACCAAAUAACUCUUAUUGUAAGUUAGAGACUUUAUCAAUCACAUUUUGACCGUAAAUUUAUUAUUCAAUGCGAUUUUGCGUCAAUAAGUCAUGCGCGUACCUACUAUUCAUAAAAGCUCUAGAGAUUAGGCCAAAGUCUCAUAGGAACGACCUCAUUCCACUUCUCAUAUAGGUGAAUUCAUUAAGUGUACACUGCUUUAAAUACACCACCCAUAAGGGCUGUGAAUUCAUUAAGAGUUAAUAACUCAUUCCUCAAUUUUAGUAACAGUUCAAGCACUCUCAGUAAGUGCGCAGUGUUAAUAUCGACUUGUUAUUACCCAUAUGAACCUACUUUAUGGGGAUCUCCAAUCACAUAGGUUGGGUUACCAUCUUUAUUGACAAUCAUGUCGACCUUAACCCUAUCACUUUCGAGGUUUGAAGAAUUAAUUUUCUUUCCACAAGUUAAUCAGUGAAUCGGCCAAAUUCAAUUCUGACUUCACAUAAUCAAUGGAAAUCAUUCCUUCUCUCAGCGACUGCUUAACAACAUCAUGUCUCAUUUUCAUAUGUCUACUCUUACAAUUGUAAGAUUUAUUCUUCACAAUAGCAAUUGUGGCAUGACAAUCACAAUGUAUAUAUACAGGAGACAUUAGAUCAUCCUUUCUAAAAGGGAUAUUUGCUAAGAAAUUUCUUAGUCAUUCAGCCUCUAUUCCAGCUAGCUCCAGAGCUAUAAAUUUUAACUCCAUAGUAGAUUUGGCAAUGAUCGUUUGCUUAGCUGAUUUUCAUGAUACUGCACCACCACCUAAGGUGAACACAUAACCGCUAGCGAAUUUCGUCUCAUCUGAAUCAGAGAUCCAGUUUGCAUCACAAUAUCCUUCUAAAGUAAAAGAAAAUUCACUAUAUAGAAUACCAUAAUUCGUGAUUCUUUUAAAUAUUUCAUUAAUCUCAUUAAUGCUGACCAAUGCUCUUUAUUGGGGUUGUGAGUAUAUCUACUUAGUCUACACACAACAUAUGCUAUAUCAGGUCUUAUAAUAUUCAUCAGAUGCACGAGACUCCCUAUAAUCUAUGCAUAUUUAGACUGGGUAACUGGGUCACCAUAGUUCUUUUUCAAUUUAGAGUUAGCAUCAUAAGGAGUACCUACGGGAGUUACCUCCCAACAUUCAAACUUCUUAAGAAUCCUUUCAACAUAAUGUUCUUGUGUUAACAUUAUCCCAUCGUCACUCCUUAUAAUUUUAAUUCCCAAUAUCAUAUUUAAUUUACCCAAAUCUUUCAUAUCAAAAUUAGUAGACAAAAAUAAUUUGAUAUUUUGCACAAUAUUUAAACUUGUACCAAAUAUAAGCAUGUCAUCAACAUAUAAGCAAAUUAUCACAUAAUCAUUGUCUACCACUUUAGUAUUAACACAUUUAUCCACUUCAAUAGUAGAAAAAUCAUCUUUAAUAAAGAUUUGAUCAAAUUUCUCAUGCCACUGUUUCGAAGCUUGUUUAAGGCUAUAAAAAGAUUUAAUUAAUUUACAAACUUUAUUUUUUUGUCCAGAGACUACAUAUUCUUCAGGUUGAACCAUAUAAAUUUCUUCUUCUAAAUCACCAUUUAAGAAAGCUGUUUUACAUCCAUUUGAUGGAUAAAAAAUUUAUGAAUCGAUGCCAAAGCAAUUAAUAUUCGAAUAAAAAAAAUUCUUGUCACUAGUGCAAAUGUAUCAAAAUAAUCAAUAUUUUGUUUUUGAGCAAAUCUUUAACUACUAAACGAGCUUUAUAUUCAUCUAUAGAUCCAUCAGAAUUAAAUUUUUCUUUGAAAAUUCAUUUACAGUCAAUAGGUUUUGCACCUGAAAGUAAAUCAGUUAAAACCCAUAUAUUAUUUUUCAUAAUAGAAUCAAGUUUAAUUUUUAUUGCCUCUUUCCAAAAUUUAGCAUCAAUUUAGCAUCAGAAGAAGAUAUAACUUCAAAAUAAUUUGAUGGUUCAUUAUCAAAGAGAAAAGUUUGAAAAUUAUUUCCAUAAGAAAAAUAUUCUUUUCUAGGCCUUAGACUCUUUCUCAGUUCCGCAAUCUUAAAGGUAGAUUCAUUUUCUCUUUCAACGGGUGCAUAAGAGAUUUUGUCACAUAGUAGAAAAAUAUGUUCAAAGAAUUCAGCAUUCUUUGUCUCGAUAAUAGUAUUACUAUCAAGCACAUCACUUUUCAAAAUAAAAAAUCUAUAUACAGCACUAUGUUCAGCAUAUCCAAUAAGCAUGCAGUCAGUAGUUUUAGAACCUAUUUUUCUUCUUUUAGCUUUAGAAAAAGAACUUUAGUAAGACACCCCCAUACUUUUAAAUAUUUCAAGUUAGGUUUAUAAUCUUUCCACAAUUCAUAAGGGAUUUUACUAAUUCGUUUAUGAGGAAUUCUAUUUUGCAAGUGACAUGCAGAUAAAAUAACUUCACCUCACAAAUUAUUAGGUGCACAAGAGCUAAUUAGCAAAGAGUUCAUCAUUUCCUUCAAUGUUCUAUUUUUUCUUUCAGCUACACCAUUAGACUCAGGUGAAUAUGACGGAGUUACUUCAUGAAUAAUUCCUUUUUUUUCAUAAAAAAUAUUUAAAGAUACAUAUUCUCCACCUCUAUCGGAUCUAACUCUCUUAAUUUUUCUACUAAGUUGAUUUUCAACUUCAGAUUUAUAAGACAUAAAAGCAUCAAAUGCAUCAUCUUUGUUUCUAAGCAAAUACAACUUGAUAAAUCUAAAAAAAUCAUCAAUAAAAGUCACAUGAUAUCUUUUUCCACCGUUAGUCAUAGUUUGUUUUAAAUCACCCAAAUCAGUGUGAAUCAAACAUAAUAAUUCAGUUUCUCUUUUAACUAAAAAAUAUGACUUUUUCGUAAUUUUAGUUUCAGCACAUAUUUCACAUUUAUCAUAAUUAUUUGAGUUUAAACCAGAUAUCAAACCAAGUAAUUGCAUUUUCUUUAUAUAAGAGAAAUUAAUGUGUCCUAAUCUAGCAUGCCAUAAAGAAAUAGACUCAGUCAAAUACGCAGAAAUAGAUACAUUUUUAGAAAUAUCAUUAUGAGUAUUAAGCAUAUAUAAUUCAUGAUUACAACAUCCAUUUUCAAUAAGAAUAUUAUUUUUAGUUAAUAUAAUCUCAUUGUUUUCAAACACAACCUUUAUUCCAACCUUUUUUAAUAAUGCCACAGAAAUCAAAUUAAUCCUGAUAUUAGGAACAUGCAACACAUUACUCAAUGCCAAAGUUUUAUCAGAUAUGAGUUUGAGAAGAACUUUGUCUUUUCCAAGAACUUGAACAGUUCUUGAGGUCCCAAGAUAAAUAAUUUCUUCUUCUUUCUCAACUUAGGUGUAUGAUACAAAAUUAUUUGUAUUUAUACAAAUAUGCCUAGUAGCACCAGAGUUUACCACCCAAUUUCUCACGUUGGUUUCAAUAUUUAUUUCUGAAAUGAUCACAAUAACUAUAUCAUUCGUUUCAGUCAAAUUUAUUUUUAACUUAACGGGAUUGUCAUUUCUUUCACAUAUUCUCUUACAUUGAGAUACAUCAUUUAUAAAGAUUUUAUAACUAUUAUUAGGCAUGUACCCAAGUUUAUUUUUCAUACCUGAAUUCUACAGUAUCAUAAUCUUCUGACAAACUGACUGGAAUGAAAGCAAUCAUAGCAACACAAACAUCAGUAUUAUCAACGAUCUUAGGAUCAAUAUUAUAUGCCGUAGUUUCUUAAAUUUUUGGGGAACAAUGAUAAAAUACCAAUAACAAUAAUAUUUAAACUAUUAAAAAAAUGUUAAUAUAAUAAUGAUAAUAGCAGUACAAUAAUAUAACAAUGUAUAAUAAUAUUACUACUUUAGUAAUGAUUAAUAUAAUAAUAUUAACAAUAAUAUAAUUAAUUAUUGACAAAUUAAUAAUACUGAAUAUUAAAUAGAUAUUAUAAAAUAUGAUUUUAAGUAAUAGAUGAAUAUUAAAUAGAUAUUAUAAAAUAUGAUUUUAAGUAAUAGAUAAAUUGCUUGAGUCAUCCUAGACACUAUCCUAAGAAAUUAUUUCCGCAAAGUAAAAUAUUUUCUCAGAAUUAAACAAGCACUUUUCUGAUUAAUUAAAGGAUAUUCAAAAUAAUUAUAUAAGUCUUUCCUUAUUAAUCAAAGGAUAUAGAA